GGGGCCGUAGCUCAAUGGUAGAGCAAUUCCCUGUCACGGAAUAGGUCGCCGGUUCAAAUCCGGUCGGUCCCG
rnacentral:tRNA from 1 species